rnacentral:rRNA from 1 species
UGAGGAAUAUUGGACAAUGGGCGAAAGCCUGAUCCAGCCAUGCCGCGUGAGUGAUGAAGGCCUUAGGGUUGUAAAACUCUUUCGCCGGUGAAGAUAAUGACGGUAACCGGUAAAGAAGCCCCGGCUAAUUUCGUGCCAGCAGCCGCGGUAAUACGAAAGGGGCUAGCGUUGUUCGGAAUUACUGGGCGUAAAGCGCGCGUAGGCGGGCAAGCAAGUUGGGGGUGAAAUCCCGGGGCUCAACCCCGGAACUGCCUCCAAAACUGCUAGUCUAGAGGAUGUGAGAGGAUAGUGGAAUUCCGAGUGUAGAGGUGAAAUUCGUAGAUAUUCGGAAGAACACCAGUGGCGAAGGCGACUGUCUGGCACAUUUCUGACGCUGAGGUGCGAAAGCGUGGGGAGCAAACAGGAUUAGAUACCCGUGUAGUCC